GGAGAUGGGGGCACCCCUGCUCCGCAACUGCCGCGUGAGCGAAGAAGGCCUCCGGGUCGUAAAGCCCUCCUGUCAGGGAAGAAACACCGGCUCUAACACAGUCCGGGAAUGACGGUACCUGAAGAAUAAGCACCGGCUAACCACGCGCCAGCAGCCGCGGUAAUACGUAGGGUGCAAGCGUUAAUCGGAAUCACUGGGCGUAAAGCGUGCGCAGGCGGUUAUACAAGACAGGCGUGAAAUCCCCGGGCUUAACCUGGGAAUGGCGCCUGUGACUGUAUAGCUAGAGUGUGUCAGAGGGGGGUAGAAUUCCACGUGUAGCAGUGAAAUGCGUAGAUAUGUGGAGGAAUACCAAUGGCGAAGGCAGCCCCCUGGGAUAACACUGACGCUCAUGCACGAAA
rnacentral:rRNA from 1 species